AACGAACGCUGGCGGCAUGCCUAACGCAUGCAAGUCGAACGAGACCUUCGGGUCUAGUGGCGCACGGGUGCGUAACGCGUGGGAAUCUGCCCUUCGGUUCGGAAUAACUCAGGGAAACUUGAGCUAAUACCGGAUAAUGACGUAAGUCCAAAGAUUUAUCGCCGAAGGAUGAGCCCGCGUAGGAUUAGCUUGUUGGUGGGGUAAUGGCCCACCAAGGCGACGAUCCUUAGCUGGUCUGAGAGGAUGAUCAGCCACACUGGGACUGAGACACGGCCCAGACUCCUACGGGAGGCAGCAGUGGGGAAUAUUGAACAAUGGGCGAAAGCCUGGUCCAGCAAUGCCGCGUGAGUGAUGAAGGCCUUAGGGUUGUAAAGCUCUUUACCCGGGAUGAUAAUGACAGUACCGGGAGAAUAAGCUCCGGCUAACUCCGUGCCAGCAGCCGCGGUAAU
rnacentral:rRNA from 1 species